AUACGUAGGUGGCAAGCGUUAUCCAGAAUUAUUGGGCGUAAAGAGGGAGCAGGCGGCAGCAAGGGUCUGUGGUGAAAGCCUGAAGCUUAACUUCAGUAAGCCAUAGAAACCAGGCAGCUAGAGUGCAGGAGAGGAUCGUGGAAUUCCAUGUGUAGCGGUGAAAUGCGUAGAUAUAUGGAGGAAAACCAGUGGCGAAGGCGACGAUCUGGCCGGCAACUGACGCUCAGCCCCGAAAGCGGGGGGAGCAAAUAGGAUUAGAUACCCUAGUAGUCCACGCCGUAAACGAUGAGUACUAAGUGUUGGAUGUCAAAGUUCAGUGCUGCAGUUAACGCAAUAAGUACUCCGCCUGAGUAGUACGUUCGCAAGAAUGAAACUCAAAGGAAUUGACGGGG
rnacentral:rRNA from 1 species